CGAAUGGCAGUGGCGAACUGGACGGCGUAAAAAUAGAAUUUAUUAUUAUGGUGUGGGAAGAUAUUUCACACUGUUUGGCGACAUUCCAUAUCAAACACUCGGUAGAAUAUUUGAAACAAUGUCUUGCUGAUGGCCGGCCCAACAGUUUUGAUUGGUAUACCAUAAGAUAUAUUAGCCAAUAAGAGUGGAUUACCUGAUCUUUUAAAUGCAUUUAUAAGCAAUUUUGGACUAGGGUAUUGCUCAACAAUUGCAAAUGCUUUAUGAACAGACAAUCCUCGGAUCUGAAAACCUGAUGAAAAUGUUUUAAAAGAUAUAAGGUUUACUAUAUUUGAAGAGUUUUUAUAGCCAGAAUCUAUUUCAUCAAUAUGAGUAAAGAGUAAGACAGUUAUACCUUGAACAUAUUUGCAAAUCAUCAUGAGUCAGAGAAAUUAUUGAAUUCUGGUAAUGAUUACUAGUUGAAGGUUGUAAUACUUGUUGAGGGUUGACAUUGACAAGUCUUGCAUUUUUAGAAAUGUCAG